UCAGCCUCCCCAAGUGCUGGGAUUAUAGUUUCUUUAUAAUGUGUAUAUAAUGAUGUGUAUAAAUACCAUAUUUUUAGAUAUAAGCCAUUUUCACUGCAGUGAGAUGGUACUUUGGUAUAGUUUUGAUGUGCAUUUUUCUGAUGAUCAGUGAUGUUGAAUAUUUUUCUGUAUACCUAUUGGUCAUUUGUAUGUCUUCUUUUGAAGAAUGUCUAUUUGGAUCUUUUGCCCAUUUUUAAAUCAGAUUACUAUAUUUUUUUCCUGUUGAGUUGUUUGAGCUUCUUAUAUAUUCUGAUUAUUACUCCCUUGUCUGAUGGGUAGUUUGUAAAUAUUUUCUCCCAUUCUGUGGGUUGUCUCUCCAUUUUGUUUCCUUCGCUGUGCAGAAGCUUUUUAGCUUCUUGUUUGCUUUCGUUGCCUGUGCUUUUGAGAUCUUACACAGGAAGCAUUUGCCCACACCGAUGUCCUGCAGAGUUUCUCCAAUGUUUUCUUCUAGCAGUUUCAUAAUUUCAGUUCUUACAUUUAAGUCUUUAAUCCAUUUCGAGUUGAUUUUUGUAUAUGGUGAGAGAUAGGGGUCUAGUUUCAUUCUUCUGCAUAUGGAUAUCCAGUUUAUUGAAGAGACUGUCUUUUCCCCAGUGUAUGUUCUUGGCACCUUUGUCAAAGAUGAGUUGGUUGUAAACGGUUGGAUUUCUAUCUGGGUUUUCUAUUCUGUUUCAAUUGGCCUAUGUGUCUAUUUUUAUGCCAGUACCAUGCUGUUUUGGUUAUUAUAACUCUGUAGUAUAGUUUGAAGUCUGGUAAUGUGAUGCCUCCAGUUUUGUUCUUUUUUCUCAGGAUAGCUUUGGCUAUCCUCGGUCUUUAGCUGGGUCUUUUGUGGUUCUAUGUAAAUUUUAAGAUUUUUUUUCUAUUUCUGUGCAGAAUGUCAUUGGUAUUUUGAUAGGGAUUGCAUCAAAUCUGUAAAUUGUUUUGGCUAGUACUGUCAUUUUAACAAUAUUAAUUCUUCCAAUCCAUCAUCAGGGAAUAUCUUCCCAUUAUUUGGUGUCCCCUUCAGUUUCUUUCAUCAGUGUUUUAUAGUUUUCCUUUUAUAGAUCUUUCACUUUGGUAAAAUUGAUUUCUAGGUAUUUUAUAUUCUUUGUAGCUAUUAUUAUCCAUGGGAUUGUUUUCUUGAUUUCUUUUUCAGAUUGUUUGCUAUUGGCCAUGAUCCAUUUGGAGGUAAUUUUUGUAUAAGGUGCAGCAAGGUUUAGGCUGAGGUUCACUUUUUCCCUUUUGUGGGUAUCUAGUUGCUCUGGCACCAUUUGCUGAAAGGGCUGCCCUUCUCCACUGAAUUGGAGCUGCACCUUUAUAGAAAGGAAUCAGUCUUGCAUAUUUGAGGGGGCUUUUUCUGGGCUCUCUAUUCUGUUCCAUUGAUAUGUGUGUCUGUCCCUCAGUGGAUGCCACACUGCCCUGUUUCUGUGGCCAUGUACGGUAGGAAGACUCACCAGCAGGUACAGCAAUUCCUCCCACUUCCUUUUCUUUCAAGAUGGUUUUAGCUGCUGGGGGUGGUGGUGGCUCACAUCUGUAACCCCAGCACUUUGGGAGGCUGAGGCAGGUAGAUUGCUUGAGCCCAGGAGUUCGAGAGCAGCCUGGCCAACAUAGUGAGACCCCGUCUCUACAAAAAAAUACAACAAAAACAAUAAAAAUUAGCCUGGCAUGGUGGCAAACACCUGUAGUCCCAGCUUCUUGGGAGGCUGAGGUGGGAGAAUUGCUUGAGCCCGGGAGGUCAAGGCUGCAGUGAGCCGAGACUGCGCCACUACAUUCUAGCCUGGGUGACAGAGUGAGACCCUGCCUCAGGAAAAACAAACAAACAAAACAAAAAACAAACAAAAAAAAGCCCCAGAAACAAAAAAAUAAAUAGUUUUAGCAACUGUUGUGCCUGUGCCUUUCCAUAUAAAUUCUAGAAGUAGCUUGUCUAUGCCCAUGAAAACCCUUGCUGGAAUUGUGAUAGGAAUUGAAUUAAGUGUGUAGAUCCUUUUGGGGAGCACUGGCUUAUUCUGUGAAGUAGGUAAUAGUCGUGGCUCUUCAUGGCUCCCGUGUGGCCCCGGUGGAGUCCCAAGAUCCAUGACACAGUCUUCCUUUUCUUUUAGGCUCCGAUUCUUGAAGUGCUACCAGAUAGGCAGCAUCCCUAUGGGGUCCUUGCCAACAAAGCCCCUCUGUGACCGUAUUGUGGUCUUUAGGUAAGAAAAGACUGGGGCUGUGUGGCCGUGGCUGAACUGGAGUGCCACGUGGCCUCAACAACUCUCAGGACGUCCUCUGGAUCCCUGUGGCCUAUGUCCUGGCCAUGUGCCCCAGAGUUGGUCCUCAUGCCUCAUGGCCCUGCUUAUUAUUUCUGCAUGGGGAGAGCCAACCUGUGGGGCCCAGGCGUUGUGGGCAAGAUCAUGGUCCCUUCCUUCACCCAGCAUUCAGAUCAGGGACAAUAACAGGCGUGGCCAUGGUCCAGCAGAGGACCAACAGUUACAGCUGGGAGAAUUAAUUUAAUGUGAACGCUGACCUUCCUCCCCUGACCCUUCUGAGAAAUCUCAGAGCAGCGUCUUCUGAACCAGCGGCUUCUCUGGUUCAUUUUGCUCUGAUACAACAGGAUGGGCUUCCAGGGCAUGAGUCCCGGACGUGAGUCCCGGGCAUUUGGCUGCGUUUCUGAGGCUGUGGUCACCAGGGAGCAGCCACGUUCUCCCGACGAGUCCCUGCGAGUCUGAGCCCAGCUUUGUGGUCUCAGCUCACUCGGGGUCAGUUGAGGAGGCCUCUGGGUGGGGACGUACCAGUGCCCAUGAGAACGGAGCCCUGUGUGUCUGAUGGUGACCAUGGGGUGGCAUUGAACAGAGGCAUGUCCCAUGUGCCUGGCUGGAAUGCAGGAGGAAGAGUUCUCAGAAUUGAUGAAAUAUGAGAAAUUAGUUUAAAAAAUUUUUAUUUUUAAAAAUUGUGGUGAAAUACACAUAAAAAGUACCCUUUUAAACCAUGUUUAAAUGUCUCAUUCAGUGGUAUUCAGCACAUUCACGGGGUUGUGCAGCCACCACCCAUCUCUAGACCUCCUUUGUUUUCCCAGCCUGAAAUUGUUCCCAUCAAACACCAACUCCCCAUACCCUCCUCAGCCCCUGGAACCACCAUUCUCUCUUCUGCCUCUGUGACUGUGACGACUCCAGGGGCCUCUUAUGAGUGGAAUCACAUGGGAUUUGUCCUUUUGUGUCUGCUGCAUUUCAUUCAGCAUGUUGUCAUAGCUCGUGUCAGCAUCCCUUUCCUUUUCAAGGCUGAAUACUAUUCCAUCGUGUGGAUGGCCGGCAUUGUUUUUAUCCAUUCAUCUGUGGGUAUACAUGUGGGUUGUUUCCACCUUUGGUUACUGUGUAUAGUGGUGCUGUAAACAUGGGUGUGUUAAUAUCUCUUCAAGACCCUGCUUUCCAUUCUUCUGGGCAAGGCUGGGCAUGUUGGCUCACAUGUGUAAUCCCAACGCUUUGGGAGGCUGAGAUGGGCGGAUCACUUGAGGCCAGGAGUUUGAGACCAGCCCAGGCACCAUAGUAAGACCCCACUGCUACAAAAAUAGAAUAAAAUUCCUCUGGGUAUCUAUCCAGAAGUGGAAUGGCUGGAUUAUGUGGGAGUUUUGUGUGUCAUUUUUUGAGGAACCUCCAUACUGUUUUUCAUUAUAGCUGCAGCAUUUUACAUUCCCAGCAGCAGUGUGCAAGCAUUCCCGUUUCUCCACAUCCUUGCCAACACUUGUUAUUUUCUGCUUUUGGAUAGUGGCCAUCCUAAUGGAUACGAGGUAAUUUCUUUUUUAUUUUAUUAUUGUUAUUUUUUUGAGCCUGGGUUUCACACUAUCACCCAGGCUGGAGUGCAACCUCUGCCUCCCAGGUUCCUGCCUCAGCCUCUUGAGUAUCUGGGACUACAGGCGUGUGCCACCAUGCCUGGCUAAUUUUUGUAUUUUUAGUAGAGAUGGGGUUUCACCAUGUGGCCAGGCUGGUCUCAAACUUCUGAGCUCAAGCUCACCUGCCUCAGCCUCCCAAAGUGUUGGGAUUACAGGCGUGAGCCACUGUGCCUGGCCUGGUACAAGGUAAUUUCUCAUUGUGGUUUGAUUUGCAUUUCUCUAGUUACUAUGUUGAGCACCUUCCCAUGUACUUUUUGGUUGGUUGUGUGUCUUCUCUGGAGAAGUGUUUGAGUCAUUUGUCCGUUUUAAGAUCAGAUUGUUUGUCAUUUUGUUUAUCCAUUCAUCUGAUGCCUGGGCUGCUUCCACCUCGUGUCCAUUGUGAGUAGUGCUACUCACAUCACCUGGGUGGACAGACAGUUCAUUCCGUUUUCAAGCAGUCACUGACAGUGUCGCAACUGGCCCUCCUCACAGCGUCGCAAUGUACUCGAGGCCAAACCCAACCAGCCCAGGAAGGACCCCCGGCUGGGGGCCCAUAGGGUGCUGGGUCUGCAGUCUUCCACUGUGGGGCAGGGCGGGGGCACUGUUCAGAAACUGUCCUUAGUGGAGGAAAAUGACGCUUUUUUCCCUGCAGUCCCCAAUAAGCGUUCUGCUGCAGAGAAUGGAGGGCCGCUGCGAGGGGAUACCAAGUGGUGAGGGUUUGCAUUCCUCCUGCAGGCACACAGCCUGCGGGCACAUGGCCUGUGGACACACGGCCUGCAGCCCAGGCGCCAGGUGGACGGGUCAGCAGAGGCGUUUCUUGGAUUUAAUUUCCCGACUGGGAAUGGGUUGAGCCCCGUCUGUCCCUCUGUGUAUUGGCCACACCCGUUUCUUUCCUGUCCCAGGCCUUUCCAAGUCCCUUGUCCUUCUUGCUGAUUUUGUAGGCGUUAUCUGCGUAUCCUUGUCAGUUCUAUGUAUUGCCUGUAUUUUCUAUCAGUGUGAGGCUUGUCUUUCUUUAAUGGUGUCUUUUGGGACAGGAGUUUUUAAUUCCAGUGCAGUGAACUUUUAUUUAUUUUUCUUAAGGUUUGUGCUUUCUGUGCCUUGCUUAAAAAUUCUUUCCCCGCCCUAACCUCAUGAUAAGAACUUCUGUAGUUAUACCUUUCUAUGAAUGAAUGAAUGAGAGGGUAUCGUUCUGUCACCCAGGUUGGAGUGCAGUGGCGUGAUUAUGGCUCAUUGUAGCCUUAAAUUCUUGGCCUCAAGCAAUUCUCCCACCUCAGCCACCCAAGUGGCUGGGACCACAGGCAUUGCGCCACCAUGCCUGGCUAAUUUUUGUAGUUUUUGUAGAGACGGGGGUUCGCCAUGUUGUCUAGGUUGGUCUUGAACUCCUGGGCACAAGCAAUCUGCCUGCCUUGGCCUCCCAGAGAGCUGGGAUUCCAGGUGUGAGCCACAGCGCCUGGCCUGGACCUUUCUUCUGUAGAUUUUUAAUCUACUUGGGGUUGGUGUGGAUGUAUGGUGUGAGGUGGGAAUUAACAUUUUCUGGUUGACAUAACUAGCUGUCCUAACACGAUUCACUGAAAGUUCGUCUUUCCCCACUGACCCAGGGUGCCACUUUGGUCAGACUCCAUGCGUUCACCUGUGUGAGUUUCUUUCUAGACUUCUCAUUCUGCUCCACCCUGUCUGUUUGUCUGCUUCUGUGCUGGUACCGUGAUGUCUUAAUUACUGUACCAUAAGGAUCAUUCUUAGUAACUGGCAUGAUGCUAUCACAAGCUAAGGUCUUCUUCAAAUAACAUUUUGACUUAUCUGUGUGAAUUUUCGAGUCAGCCUGUUUACACACAUAGUCAUGCACACACACAAUAGCAUUUUGAUCAGCAUUGCAUUAAAUGUGUAGGUCAAGUUGGGGAGAACUGAUGUCUUUGUGUUACUGAGUUUUCAAGUCCAAAAACAUUACAUGUCUCUCGCUUAUUUUUUUUUUUUUUUUUUUGAGACGGAGUCUCGCUCUGUCGCCCAGGCUGGAGUGCAGUGGCGGGAUCUCGGCUCACUGCAAGCUCCGCCUCCCGGGUUCAUGCCAUUCUCCUGCCUCAGCCUCCCAAGUAGCUGGGACUACAGGCGCCCGCCACUACGCCCGGCUAAUUUUUUGUAUUUUUAGUAGAGACGGGGUUUCACCGUUUUAGCCGGGAUGGUCUCGAUCUCCUGACCUCGUGAUCCGCCCGCCUCGGCCUCCCAAAGUGCUGGGAUUACAGGCGUGAGCCACCGCGCCUGGCCGUCUCUCGCUUAUUUAUGCCUACUUUAAUUCUGCAAAGUUUGUAUAAUUUUUCUGAAGUCCUUAUAUAUCUUUUGUUAAAUGUAUUUAUUUAAAAUAAUUUUAAUACUGUGGCAAAAGGCAUCCUUGCGAAAUUGCAUUUAUCUAAUUUUUUGUUACUGAUGUUUAGAAAUAAAUUUGCUAAAUUUUAAUUGUUCCUAGUAAUUAUUUUUAUAUAGGUAGCUUGGGGCUUUUACUUUAGACAAUCAUAUGAUCUUAAAUUAAUGACAGUUUUGUUUGUUUUUGGUAAUCCAUAAAUGUUUAGUUUUUUUCCCAUUCCUUUCUCUGAUGGGUCAGGUUAAACAGGGGUGCUGGUGCCUCACUUGGCUCUUGAUCUUAAAGGAAAGUUCAUCAUUGUUUUACCACUUGGUCUGGUGGUUGUUGACAUUUCUUGGUAGGUACUCUUUUUGAGGUUGAGAAAGUUCUUAUAACUGGAAAUCCUAGUUUGCUAAGAUUUUUUUUUUUUUAAAUCACAAAAGUUUGUUGAAAUUUAUCAGUUUUGGGGAGUAUGAAUUGAAAUGAUGAUUAUGUUUUUCGAGGAACUUGUCCAUAUCACCUGUUUUCAAAUUUAUUUUUAUAACAUUUGAUACAGUUUGGAUCUGUGUUCCCACUAAAUCUCACAUUGAAAUGUAGUCCCCAGUGUUGGAGGCGGGGCCUGGUAGGGGGUGUUUGGAUCAUGAGGGCAAAUCUCUUUAACAUCUAGCUUUGAUCCUCUGAACUGGAGUCCUGCAUCCUUGAGAUAACUCUACACUCAUGAUGGAGUGAGAAUGACAAAGGCAAACAAUACCUCAGCAUCACCAUGGAAACCACUGGGACCUCGGGGGUCAUAAGAGGGCCCCAGGGACCCACAGGCUGCUGGGAUCACACUUUUGAGAACCACUGCUCUGCUGCUCUGAUCAGCUCCUUAUACUUGCUGCUCGAUGUGCUAGCCCUGGCGCUGGCUAUUGAAGAGCUAGCAGUGGCCACAUGGAAGCCCUGGACAGCUUAGUGGUGUGCUCUACAAAUGACUCUGUCCAGGGCAUCUCCCAACACAGCAGUGGGACAAGAAGACAAUGACGGGAUGUUGCAUGAACUGACCCUCAGAACCCAAUGUCCAGGAGAACAUGAACUGGGAUCUUGAAGUUCUUCAGAAAGAUCAGAGUGAGCGGUGGCCCUGAGUCACUCUGUAGCAGUCAUGGCAGUGAGAAGAGCCACUCUCUAAUCAUAAUGGAAUUGCAAGAUUGCCAAAUUAAGUCACCCAGUUAAUUGUGGCCCUUAAUUUUACUCUAGGAAUCUGUGCUGUCCUAAUCUUAGCAUUUCCAGGGAGACAUGGCAGCUGUUGGGGGCAGGAGGAAUCACCGUGUUCCAUGUGACCACCAGGCUCUACAGGCUCUAAUUUUAAAUUAUGACAGGGAGGGAGAAGGCUGAGAACCAUGCUGCUGACACUGAGACAAGGGUUCCCAGAGGUUCAUUUUCCCUGGACAUGGCAAAAAGACUUUGCAUAGCCUUUUCAAAGAUUUGGCAAAUACUAUGGGCCAAUUUUUUUUUUUUUUUUUUGAGAUGGAGUCUCGCUCUGUCGCCCAGGCUGGAGUGCAGUGGCGCGAUGGGCCAAUUUUUAUAUGCAUUUUCUGGCAUUUAUUUCAGUGGAUGCAGGAUAGAUUAUUAAAAUUCCUGCACUUUACAUUUUUAAAAAUCCUUUUUUUUUUUUUUUUUUUUUUUGGAGACAGAGUCUCACUGUGUCGCCUAGGCUGGAGUGCAGUGGCACGAUCUUGGCUCUCUGCAAGCUUUGCCUUCUGGGUUCACACCAUUCUCCUGCCUCAGCCUCCCUGGUAGCUGGGACUACAGGUGCCCGCCACCACGCCCAGCUAAUUUUUUGUAUUUUUAGUAGAGACGGAGUUCCACUGUGUUAGCCAGGAUGGUCUCGAUCUCCCGACCUCAUGAUCUGCCCACCUUGGCCUCCCAAAGUGCUGGGAUUACAGGCGCAAGCCGCCAUGCCCGGCCUAAAAAUUCUUACACAGGCUUUGCUUCAUGAAACCCUUUAUCAAACUGUUUGGUCAUUUUUUGAUUUUCACCUGAGUUGAUAAUUGCAACUGAAUUCAUCUUGAACAUUGAGAAAACAGUAAGGACCCAUGAGAGAAUUUUUAAAAGUCAACCAACAAUAUCCCAGUCCUCACCAGCAGGUGGUUUAAAGCAUCUUUCAGAAUUUGAAAUCAGUUUUAAUGAUGGUCACUAACAUGAAUCAUGUUAACAUAAUUUUAAGCAUGUUGUACUUAAUGUUCUGAUUGAGAUUUUUUAAAGUUUCUGUUUUAAUUGCUGUUUUGGUGAGAAGAAAUGAUUCAGGAGGUCUGUGCUUUGUUACCUGUACCCACAUGGUGCUCAAGGUUGGGUGAGGGAAAGAUGAGCAGUUAAACACACAAAAGUAGGAAUUCCAGAUCAUCAGAGUCAUUUAAUUUUGUUUUGGACAAGAAACGUUUACAUGCUGAAUCACUCUGCCUUGUUGUUUUUUUUUUUAUCCCAUUGUCUCCUGGUAUCCAUUGUUUCCAAUGAGAAAUCAGCUGUUAAUCUCAGUGGGCUGCCCUUGUAUGUGAGGAGCUGGUUUUCUCAUGUGUAUGUUGGUGUGCCUAAUGGUGUCCCACAUUUCUUUAAGGCUCUGUUCAUUUUCUUCAUUCUCUCUGUUUUUUAGAUUGCAGAAUCUCUAUCAAUCUAUCCUUAAGUUCUGACUCUUUUUUUUUUCCCUGCCAGUUAAAAACCUACCAUUGAGCUUCUCUAUUGAGUGUUUUAUUUCAUACAUUGUACUUUUCAACUUCAGAAUUUCCAUUUGGUUGUUUUUAUAAUUUCUGUUUCUUUAUUCUGUAUUUGAUGAGACAUCAUCAUCGUACCUCCCUUUGCUUCUUUAAGUGUGGUUUCCCUAAGUUCUCUGAACAUAUUUAUAAUAGCUGCUUUGAAGCCUUUGCAAAGUCCAACAUCUGGAUCCUCUCACAGUUUAUGUUGUCUGUUCUCCCUCUCCCUCCAGUAUAGGUCAUACUUUCCUGUUCUUUACAUGCCUCGUAAUUUUAAUUUUUGUUGAAAACUGGAUAUUUCAGGCAAUAUAUUCUAUCAACUCUGGAUUCUGAUUCAAUUCCUCCCUCUCUUGGAUUUCUUUUUCAAUUGUUUGCUUAUGUAUUUGUUUAGUGAUACAUAUAACUGGGUAUUUAUCCAAAGGAAAGGAAAUUAGUAUAUCAAAGGGCUUCCUGCACCCCCAUGUUUAUUGCAGCAGUAUUCAUAAUAGCCAAGAUGUAGAACCAACCUAAGUGCCUAGCAGUACCUGAAUGGAUAAAGAACAUGUGGCAUAUAUACACAAUGGAAUAUAAUUCAGCCAUCAAAAAGAAUGAAAUCAUGUCAUUUGCAGUAACACGGAUGGAACUGGAGGUUAUUAUGUUGAGUGAAUAAACCAGGCAUGGGGGUCAUUUUGACCCAGUCUUUGAGGUUUGUUUUGACCCAGGACAUUCUUCUUAGCUGUGUCCUGCUGAAGUUCCUCUGGUGAACUAGCUGGCCUGAGGUUGAGCUUGUUGGUCUUAAGUAAGAGGAACAGUUGUUUUCAAGAGCACCCUUAGGGUUGAACUUCCUUUCCCAUGUGCUAUUUCAAAUAAAGUCAGUUCCUAUGGGGAGCGCUUUAGAACUUUCUCUCCUUGUGAACUUCUUUUCCCCUUUGGCAAAUCUUGGAGUCAGUUUUCUGGGCAGUGGCAGCCUGUGGUCUUCUUGGAUUGCAUCAAAGACCCAGAUAUACAUGUCCUAUGAUUCCACAGACCCUGAACUGUUCCAGUAACCCAGCUGUGGAGUAUCUGACUGGGAGCUCCGUGACAAGGCUUGGUGGUGUGCAGACUUGGUUUCCAGUAAGAUUCUGCAACUAUUUUUCUAAAGACACACACAUACCUGUUUGAGCGGGAGCCAGGCAUGGCUGACCUCCCCACAGAAGGGAUAGGGCUGGGUGUCACUAAAGGCCAGGCCCUCUGCUCAUGAUGCUUUCACACCAUCUUAGGAGUGAAGCUGAUGGGCAUCUCAGAUUUGGCUUUCUCUGGCACAGGUAGGAUUUAAAAAUGAGGCAUAGACUUUUCCUAUGCAUGUGUGACAUGCUAGACAUAUGGCCUUUAAGACCACAUUCAGGUCCGGGUGUGAUGGCUCAUGCCUGUAAUCCCAGCACUUUGGGAGGCUGAGGUAGGCAGAUCAUGAGGUCAGGAGUUUGAGACCAGCCUGGCCAAUAUGGUGAAACCCCAUCUCUACUGAAAAUACAAAAAUUAGCCAGGUGUGGGUAGCAUGCUCCUGUAGUCCCAGAUACUCAGGAGGCUGAGGCAGAAGAAUUGCUUGAAUCCAGGAGGUGAAGGUUGCAGUGAGCCUAGAUUGCACCACUGCACUCCAGCCUGGGCGACAGAGCGAGACUCCAUCUCAAAAAUGAAACAAAACAAAACAAAAACCAAACCAAACAAACAAAAAACACAUUCAGAAACCAUCAGGGAGAUUAAAAGAGGCACAAAUACAUCAAAACCAAGGUAAUUACUGACCCUGUCUGCUGAGGCAACAUACAGUGGCAUUGUGAAGAAAUGCGCUCACUGCAGCAGAAAGCCACUUCCUUACAGAGUCCCAUCCUUGGGGAUGGGUUUCCCAGCGCUCCUGCACUCAGGUCUCACGUGUCUGUCCCCAGAUCUGCUCUUUUCAUUCAUGAUGCAAACUCUGCAGGGUUCUUACCACAGGCUCGCCUUUGCAAAGACAACGUGAUUUUCCUUCUAAAGCUCAGCCAGAGCUACCCCUGUGCUUCAGAGGAACUGGUCCCAGCCUUGUGAUCAGUGGGCACCGAGUCCUGGCAUGCCGAGCCCUUGCCGUGUUGUGAUUGGUUGUCUCAGUGGCUAGCUCUUCACUUUCCCCCAUUCUUCUUAUUGUGUUAAAAUACAGAGAACACAACAUUUACCAUUUUGACCAUUUUAAGUGUCCAGUUCAGUGGCAUUAAGCGCAUUCAUGUGGUUGUGCAGCCAUCACCAUCACCCAUCUCCAGAGCUUCUUCAUGUUCCAAACCUGACAAUCUGUCCCCAUGACACACCAAUCCCCUUACCCCGACCCGAGCCCUUGAACCCCCAUUCUACCCUCUGUCUCCAUGUGUAUGAAUCCUCUGGGGACCUCACAGGAGUGGAAUCAGUCUUUGUCUUUCUGUGCCUGGCUUAUUUACUCAGCAUAAUGUCCUCAAGAAUUAUCUCUAUUGUAGAUGUUACAAAUGUCCUGCUUUUAAAAGCUGAAUUAAAAAUAAACUGAAGGCCCGGUGCGGUGGCUCCCACCUGUAAUCCCAGCACUUUGGGAGGCCGAGGUGGGUGGAUCACCUGAGGUCAGCAGUUCGAGACCAGCCUGACCAACAUGGUGAAACCCUGUCUCUACUAAAAUACAAAAUUAGCUGGGUGUGGUGGUGCAUGCCUAUAAUUCCAACUACUCGGGAGGCCGAGGCAGGAGAAUCGGUUGAACCUGGGAGGUGGAGGUUGCAGUGAGCUGAGAUUGCGCCAUUGCACUCUAGCCUGGGCAACAAGAGCGAAACUCCGUCUCAAUAAAUAAAUAAAUAAAUAAAUAAAAUAAACUGAAUAGCCGUCCUUUGUGUGUAUCCACCACCUUUUGUUCAUCCACUCAUCUGUUGAUGGACACUUGGGUUGCUUCCAGCUCUUGGCUGUUGGGAAUAGUGCUGCAAUAAAUAUGGGUGGGCCGGCUGCGGUGGCUCACAUCUGUAACCUUGGUGCUUUGGGAGGCUGCAGCAGGAGGAUCACUUGAGCCCAGGAGGUCAAGACCAGCCUGGGCAACAUAGUGAGACCCUAUCUCUAUUAAAAAAUGUUUUAAAAUUAAAAAUAAAAUGGGUGUACUAAUAUCUUUUCGAGACCCUGCUUUCAGUUCUUUUGGGUGCAUACUGAUAGAUGGAAUUGCUGGGUCACAUGGGGAUUCUACAUUUAAUUUUUUAGGAACCAUCAUACUGUUUUCCACAGCGGCUGUGCACCAACUCUUUAUUUUAAUAAACCUUCUACCAUGUAGAAGUGAAAUAAAUGAUCGUAUUUAGUAAUUAUCAUUUUUUUCUCUACAAUUUACCUUAUCUAAAAAGGUAGGAUUUUCCAUUUUAUUUCCCAUUUUUGAUGUGACUUUGCCUAAUUUUGUAAUAGAUGAUUUUAAAAAUAUGUUUUGUCACCAUAGAAUAGAAUUUUUUUUUCUUUUUCUUUUUUUUUUUUUUUUUGCAGCACAAACAGAAAAACCAAGAGCUUCUACCCCUUGGUCUUGAAAUAGAAACAAAAUGAACAAACCCAUUUCAAAUUAGGAGAACAAGAGAAUUGAAAUAAGAGAUCUUUUCCUCCAUAAUAGCAUUUCUUGUUGUCAGACCAGCUUUACAAAGUAGCCUAACAUGUGAUCUAAAGAGGAACGUGCUGAGGUAGGCCCAGGAGAAAAAUCCCAGGAAGACAAAGGCCCUGUUAUUUUUAUGGUGCAAUUUAAUACACAUGAAUAACUUUGAAAAUUAGGUGUUUUUCAAAACAGCUUUAGUCUGUUUCUAAUAUAUAAGGAAAAUAACUUUCUUUUGUUUUAUGCUACCUAAGUGUGUGGUGUCUAUCCAAUAUGUUACUAGGGUACAUGUUCACUGUAGCUAUUCAUGAUAGCCAAGAUAUGGAAUCAACUUGAAUGUCCAAGAAAACAUGGUACAUAUACACAAUGGAGUAUUAUUCAGCCAUCAAAAGAAUGAGAUCCUGUCAUUAGCAGCAACGUGGAUGGAACUAGAGGCCAUUAUGUUAAGUGAAAUAAGCCAGGCACAGAAAGGGAAAUAUUGCAUGUUGUCAUUUGUAUGUGGGAGCUAAUUUGCACUAUGUAGACAUAUAUCAAAGCAUCACAUUGUACACUUUAAAUAUGUACAAUUUUUAUUUGUUAUGCAUCAAUAAAGCUGGGAUUGGGGAUGCGAUGGUAUAAAAA